UCCUGGGAUAAACACUAAAUAUAAAACGGUUUCUCUUUCAGGUGCGUCUGGAGCAGGGAAUCUUGGCUGAGCCGGGUUCUGUUCUCCUCUACAAGCUGUCCAACCUGCUCAAGUUCUACCACCACACCAUCAGUUGUAUCGUGGGCACCAGUGUAGCCUCCCCUGCUAAUGACCAUCGAAGAGAUGCACAUUCUAAGCAAGAAGAUGUUUUUCAACAGUCUCAGUCUCCACGCUAGCAGGCUCAUGGACAAGGUGGAGCUCCCCCCUCCAGAUCUGGGCCCCACCUCCUCUCUGACCCAGACCCUGGCUCUCCUGAGGGAGGUGUUGGCCUCUCAUGACUCCUCUGUUGUU